ensembl:snRNA U1 U1 spliceosomal RNA
GCACCUGGCAGUGGUCACUGUCAGCAGACGGGACACUGGGCUGAAUGGACCUUUGGUCUGACCCAAUCUGGCCGUUUUUAUGUUCUAUAAAUUUCCCCAAAUGUGGGAAACUCGCCUGCAUAAUUUGUGGUAGUGGGGGACUGUGUUUGCGCUUUCUGCUG